rnacentral:tRNA from 1 species
GCCUCUAUAGCUCAGUAGUAGAGCACUGGUCUCGUAAACCAGGAUUGGUGAGUUCAAACCUCACUAGAGGCA